AAAUUGAAGAGUUUGAUCAUGGCUCAGAUUGAACGCUGGCGGCAGGCCUAACACAUGCAAGUCGAACGGUAACAGGAAACAGCUUGCUGUUUCGCUGACGAGUGGCGGACGGGUGAGUAAUGUCUGGGAAACUGCCCGAUGGAGGGGGAUAACUACUGGAAACGGUAGCUAAUACCGCAUAACGUCGCAAGACCAAAGAGGGGGACCUUCGGGCCUCUUGCUAUCGGAUGUGCCCAGAUGGGAUUAGCUAGUAGGUGGGGUAACGGCUCACCUAGG
rnacentral:rRNA from 1 species